AGAUGAAGUUUAUGCCAAAAGCACCACCUUGCAGAGACCAGAAGCUAGUUUUGCCCAAACCGGAGAAGGUUGAGGAUACUGAAGUGGAUGAUAUUAAGGAGCAAGAAUUGAUGAGGCGUUUCAACGAAGCUUCUAAAAGGCCGAAAUUCAAGCCUGAAAUUAAGCCCUCAGUCCCACA